GACGAACGCUGGCGGCGUGCCUAACACAUGCAAGUCGACGAGUGGCGAACGGGUGAGUAAUACGUGGGUAACCUGCCCUCUCUUUGGGAUAAGCCUUGGAAACGGGGUCUAACACCGUAUAAGGGGGAUGGGCUCGCGGCCUAUUGGCUUGUUGGUGGGGUGCUGGCCUACCAAGGCGGUGACGGGUAGCCGGCCUGAGAGGGUAACGGGCGACAUGGGGGCAGCUAUACGGCCCAGGCUCCUACGGGAGGCGGCAGUGUGGGAUAUUGCACAAUGGGCGAAAACCUGAUGAAGCGACGCCGCGUGGGGGAUGAAGGCUUUCGGGUUGUUAACCUCUUUCGCUGUCGAGAGGUAGGUGGAGAAGAAGCGCCGGCUAGCUACGUGCCAGCAGCCGCGGUAAUUC
rnacentral:rRNA from 1 species